rnacentral:rRNA from 1 species
AUACGGAGGAUACAAGCGUUAUCCGGAUUUAUUGGGUUUAAAGGGUGCGCAGGCGGACCGCUAAGUCAGGGGUGAAAGGUGGGGGCUUAAUUCAAAUCGGCCCUUUGAUACUGGCGGAUUGAGGUGCGAUAGCCGGGGCCGGAUGGGGGCGGGUAGCGGUGAAAUGCUUAGAUAUGCCACAGAACACCGAUCGAGAAGUCAGGUCACGAGUUCGCAACUGACGCUCAUGCACGAAAGCGUGGGGAUCAAACAGGAUUAGAUACCCUGGUAGUCCACGCCGUAAACGAUGAUCACUCGUUGCCGGGCAGUGAUGUUCGGUGGCCAAGCGAAAGCGAUAAGUGAUCCACCUGGGGAGUACGAUCGCAAGGUUGAAACUCAAAUGAAUUGACGGGG